rnacentral:miRNA from 1 species
GCAGACACAUUCCAGCUAAUCAGCAGCAGACCCUCCCUCCCAGACCCUCUCACCUCCUGGACAGCUCACUAAGAAUGCAGCUUCACAAUGAAUGUAAAAUGGAUGCUGUCCAGGAGGUGGGAGGGUCUGGGAGGGAGGGUCUGCUGCUGAUUGGCUGGAAUGUGUCUG